rnacentral:rRNA from 1 species
UAGGGAAUCUUCCGCAAUGGACGCAAGUCUGACGGAGCAACGCCGCGUGAGUGAAGAAGGAUUUCGGUUCGUAAAACUCUGUUGUUAGAGAAGAACAGCGCAUAGAGUAACUGUUAUGCGUGUGACGGUAUCUAACCAGAAAGCCACGGCUAACUACGUGCCAGCAGCCGCGGUAAUACGUAGGUGGCAAGCGUUGUCCGGAUUUAUUGGGCGUAAAGCGAGCGCAGGCGGUCAAUUAAGUCUGAUGUGAAAGCCCCCGGCUCAACCGGGGAGGGUCAUUGGAAACUGGUAGACUUGAGUGCAGAAGAGGAGAGUGGAAUUCCAUGUGUAGCGGUGAAAUGCGUAGAUAUAUGGAGGAACACCGGUGGCGAAAGCGGCUCUCUGGUCUGUAACUGACGCUGAGGCUCGAAAGCGUGGGGAGCGAACAGG